AUGUUCCGGAUCCGGCCAUUGGUAAGAAUCAAAUGGGCCCAUGUCAGACAAGGCAUGGCUUUUAAUCUCCCUUUAUUUGCCAUGUCACCUGUCAGUGACCUUGCCUGUUGCCGGCUGCCUGGUGUUCUGCAGUUUACUGAUAAGUGUGUUUAUGCUUUUGAAGUCGUGUCUGCCGAAAAACCACAUCUGGUUCACCACCGCCUCAACAGAUACACAAUGAAAUACAAAGGCCAAUUCUGCGGUGUACACAAUCCGUGUCAGUUUACCCAGAGGAUUCCAGAUGGAAUGAACUCCGCAGACGGGGUUCACGGAGCGCAGGCGAUGCUGGGGGAGGAGCCCUCAUUGUCUCCCUUGGAAAUCGUAAGGGGAAUAUUGGUGCUGGGAGGACAUCUCGCGCUGCAGCGGUGGAGGCGGAGGCGUUUUACACGUUGUUAAGGUAGGAGUGACGGCAUCUGUAUUUAAACCUAAUAGAAAAUAUCAGCCACCGUUUCUUGAAUGUCUGCUCUAGGCCAGAGGCCGGGCUUAAGAAUUUUCUUUGCCUGGACACAGUUCUGUGAGGUCUCCGGAGGUGUGGCUCUUGAGCGUUUUAUAGAUGUGGUAAAGUGACCUUCCCCAAACUUGAGUGGCUUCGUGUUUUUGAUUGUUUACCUAAUCUCAUUGAUGUUGAGUAUAUGCCCAGGAGUUUGUUUAUUUGUUUGUUUAUUUAUUUGCUUUUUAGGGCCACACCUUUGGAAGUUCCUGGGCUGGGGGCCGAAUGGGAGCUGCCGUGACCCGCCUGCACCAAGCCACAGCAACGCGGGACCUGAGCCGCGUCUGCAGCCUCACACCACA
rnacentral:lncRNA from 1 species